rnacentral:rRNA from 1 species
AAGGUUAAGCCGCUCGGUUCAUUAGUACUGGUCAGCUCAAUGCAUCGCUGCACUUACACACCCAGCCUAUCCACGUCUUCGUCUUAAACGUUCCUUCCGUGACUCAAGUCAAGGGAAGACUCAUCUCAAGGCAAGUUUCCCGCUUAGAUGCUUUCAGCGGUUAUCUCUCCCGCACUUAGCUACCGGGCUAUGCCAUUGGCAUGACAACCCGUACACCAGCGGUGCGUCCACUCCGGUCCUCUCGUACUAGGAGCAGCCCCUUUCAAUCUUCCUACGCCCACGGCAGAUAGGGACCGAACUGUCUCACGACGUUCUAAACCCAGCUCGCGUACCACUUUAAAUGGCGAACAGCCAUACCCUUGGGACCCACUUCAGCCCCAGGAUGUGAUGAGCCGACAUCGAGGUGCCAAACACCGCCGUCGAUAUGAACUCUUGGGCGGUAUCAGCCUGUUAUCCCCGGAGUACCUUUUAUCCGUUGAGCGAUGGCCCUUCCAUUCAGAACCACCGGAUCACUAAGACCUACUUUCGUACCUGCUCGAGCCGUCACUCUCGCAGUCAAGCCAGCUUAUGCCUUUGCACUAACCUCACGAUGUCCGACCGUGAUUAGCCAACCUUCGUGCUCCUCCGUUACUCUUUGGGAGGAGACCGCCCCAGUCAAACUACCCACCAGACACUGUCCUCAGCCCGGUUCACGGGCCCAAGUGAGAACAUCGAACAUUCAAGGGUGGUAUUUCAAGGUCGGCUCCAUGCAGACUGGCGUCCACACUUCCUAGCCUCCCACCUAUCCUACACAUCAAGGCUCCAUGUUCAGUGUCAAGCUAUAGUAAAGGUUCACGGGGUCUUUCCGUCUUGCCGCGGGAACACUGCAUCUUCACAGCGAGUUCAAUUUCACUGAGUCUCGGGUGGAGACAGCCUGGCCAUCAUUACGCCAUUCGUGCAGGUCGGAACUUACCCGACAAGGAAUUUCGCUACCUUAGGACCGUUAUAGUUACGGCCGCCGUUUACUGGGGCUUCGAUCAAGAGCGUCGCCUUGCGGCUAACCCCAUCAAUUAACCUUCCAGCACCGGGCAGGCGUCACACCGUAUACGUCCACUUUCGUGUUUGCACAGUGCUGUGUUUUUAAUAAACAGUUGCAGCCAGCUGGUCUCUGCGACUGGCUUCAGCUCCAGAGGUCAACUCCUUCACCUAAUGCCAGCGUGCCUUCUCCCGAAGUUACGGCACCAUUUUGCCUAGUUCCUUCACCCGAGUUCUCUCAAGCGCCUGAGUAUUCUCUACCUGACCACCUGUGUCGGUUUGGGGUACGAUUCAAUAUGACCUGAUGCUUAGAGGCUUUUCCUGGAAGCCGGGCAUCAACCACUUCACCGCCGUAGCGGCUCGUCAUCACGCCUCAGUGUUCACAGAAGAGCGGAUUUGCCUGCUCCUCCCACCUACCCGCUUAAACCGGGACAACCGUCGCCCGGAUGGCCUAGCCUUCUCCGUCCCCCCUUCGCAGUCACAUUCAGUACAGGAAUAUUAACCUGUUUCCCAUCAGCUACGCUUUUCAGCCUCACCUUAGGGGUCGACUCACCCUGCCCCGAUUAACGUUGGACAGGAACCCUUGGUCUUCCGGCGAGCGGGUUUUUCACCCGCUUUAUCGUUACUUAUGUCAGCAUUCGCACUUCUGAUACCUCCAGCAGGCCUCACGGCGCCACCUUCCACGGCUUACAGAACGCUCCCCUACCCAGCGACACUUACGUGUCGCUGCCGCAGCUUCGGUGCAUGGUUUAGCCCCGUUACAUCUUCCGCGCAGGCCGACUCGACCAGUGAGCUAUUACGCUUUCUUUCAAUGAUGGCUGCUUCUAAGCCAACAUCCUGGCUGUCUGGGCCUUCCCACAUCGUUUCCCACUUAACCAUGACUUUGGGACCUUAGCUGGCGGUCUGGGUUGUUUCCCUCUUCACGACGGACGUUAGCACCCGCCGUGUGUCUCCCGUGAUACCAUUCUUCGGUAUUCGCAGUUUGCAUCGGGUUGGUAAGCCGGGAUGGCCCCCUAGCCGAAACAGUGCUCUACCCCCGAAGAUGAACUCACGAGGCGCUACCUAAAUAGCUUUCGGGGAGAACCAGCUAUCUCCCGGUUUGAUUGGCCUUUCACCCCCAGCCACAAGUCAUCCGCUAAUUUUUCAACAUUAGUCGGUUCGGUCCUCCAGUUAGUGUUACCCAACCUUCAACCUGCCCAUGGCUAGCUCACCGGGUUUCGGGUCUAUACCCUGCAACUCAUUUCGCCCAGUUAAGACUCGGUUUCCCUGCGGCUCCCCUAUCCGGUUAACCUUGCUACAGAAUAUAAGUCGCUGACCCAUUAUACAAAAGGUACGCAGUCACCCCACCCCAAAACGCUCCACUGCUUG